rnacentral:piRNA from 1 species
UCAGUCCACAUGUGUGGUUGAGUGUUUGA